rnacentral:rRNA from 1 species
AUAUGUGGAGGAACACCAGUGGCGAAGGCGGCUCUAUGGUCUGUAACGGACGCUGAGGCGCGAAAGCGUUGUGAGCAAAGAGGAUUAGAGACCCUGGUAGUCCACGCCGUAAACGAUGAGUGCUAAGGGUUAGGGGGUUUCCGCCCCUUAGUGCUGCAGCUAACGCAUUAAGCACUCCGCCUGGGGAGUACGACCGCAAGGUUGAAACUCAAAGGAAUUGACGGGGGCCCGCACAAGCGGUGGAGCAUGUGGUUU